rnacentral:misc_RNA from 1 species
AGUUCGAUCAGGCUCAGAUUGAACGCUGGCGGGAUGCUUUACGCAUGCAAGUCGAACGGCAGCACGGACUUCGGUCUGGUGGCGAGUGGCCGAACGGGUGAGUAAUGUAUCGGAACGUGCCUGUGUGGGGGAUAACUACGCGGGCGUAGCUAAUACCGCAUACCCUUCGGGGGAAAGCGAAGGGGACCUUGACCUCGCACUAUUAA